rnacentral:rRNA from 1 species
CUAGUGACUGAUUAUCAAAAUCACAGGGCUUAGUUUAAGACUUUGAUAGAUUAUGGCUGAUAUGUGAUCAGUGUUUUAUUUCGUAAGAUCAACAUCGGCCAUAACAGUAAUGGUCCCAAGGUAGCAAAAUUCCUUGUCGUUUAAGUAACGACCUGCAUGAAGGAUUUAAC